rnacentral:rRNA from 1 species
GAUGAACGCUGGCGGCGUGCCUAACACAUGCAAGUCGAGCGGACAGACGCGGAGGUUGCUCCUCUGAUGGUGGCGGGGGGCGUGACAGUAACGCGUGCAUCACUUACCUCUAAUACUAGGAUUAGUACGGGAAGCUAGUGCUAAUUACUCAUCAUAUCUUGCACCGGGGGGUUCAAAAGGCACAGGCGGUUUUGCUUGCUCUCACAGCCUAUCCCGUGCCGGAUUAGGUAGUUGGUAAGGUAACGUUCUACCAAGGCGCCGAUUCGUAGCCGAACCGAGCGGGUGAUCGGCCACACUGGAACUGAGACACGGUCCAGACGCCUACGAGAGGCAGCAGUAGGGAAUCUUAGGCAAUGGGCGAAAGCAUUACGCAGCAAGGGCGCGUGAGUGAUGAAGGCGUUCGGGUCGUAAAGCCCUGUUAUUGGGGAAGAACAGCUGUGAGUGGAGACAAAGACGUAUUGACGGUACCUAAAGAAGAAGCACCGGCUAACUACGUG